GGGGCUGAUUCUGGAUUCGACGGGAUUUGCGAAACCCAAGGUGCAUGCCGAGGUGCGGUAGGCCUCGCUAAAAAACCGCAAACUAAGAGCCCUCUCUCCCUAGCCUCCGCUCUUAGGACGGGGAUCAAGAGAGGUCAAACCCAAAAGAGAUCGCGUGGAUGCCUUGCCUGGGGUUGAAGCGUUAAAUCUAAUCAGGCUAGUCUGUCAGUGGCGUGUCUGUCCGCAGCUGCCAGGCGAAUGUAAAGACUGACUAAGCAUGUAGUACUGAGGAUGUAGGAAUUUCGGACGCGGGUUCAACUCCCGCCAGCUCCACCA
rnacentral:tmRNA from 1 species